UACGGAGGGUCCGAGCGUUAUCCGGAUUUAUUGGGUUUAAUGGGUGCGUAGGCGGCCUGUUAAGUCAGGGGUGAAAGACGGUAGCUCAACUAUCGCAGUGCCCUUGAUACUGAUGGGCUUGAAUGUACUAGAGGUAGGCGGAAUGUGACAAGUAGCGGUGAAAUGCAUAGAUAUGUCACAGAACACCAAUUGCGAAGGCAGCUUACUAUGGUAUAAUUGACGCUGAGGCACGAAAGCGUGGGGAUCAAACAGG
rnacentral:rRNA from 1 species